GGCGGGUAGAGGGUAUCUAUAAGGGCAGGACGAUUCCAUAAUUUUAGAAUGCUGGGCCCCGAACCGACCCGUUCACAAUUUCUUUACCUUUUCAAUUCUCUUCCCCCACUCCCAGAUUUCCCCUACUUUCUUUCUGUGUUCUCGUUGUCUUCUCCCUCCCACCCCUUGAAAUGCGUCGACAUCAUAGAAGCUCCAGAUCGGAGAAGACGAUGGGCUUAACUCGGCUGCUGACCACCCAAUCUGGUCCGACUCGGCCGGUUAUGCAUCACUCUUGACUCGAUCGACGACCUCAUCGCCACAAUCCAGGACUGGACUGCCAUGGCCGACGACAAGUUUAUCGGCUUCGAGAAUCCUGAACCAUCAACACGAGAAGACAACACCAAGAGUUCAAGUUGGUCAACAUGUCUGUGUUUAUUGUGAAUCUCCUUUGUGUGCACUGUGGCCUGGCCCUGGGUUUAUUAAACCAUCGACAUCACCGAAGCAACAGGUUCCCAAAAGCAGCAGCCGCAAAAAAUUACGUUUGGGGAACGACAAUAGGAUUAAGGCAUUUUUCUUCAAUCCCAACAAAGAACCCAUCCCCAAAGAAUCGCUUAAGGUUCUUGUUUCACCACUACUACUACGGCUGAAGAAAUCUAGAAGAAGUGGUGCCAAUAUUUUCUCCCAAAUCACUUCACCGGAGAAGAAGAAUAAAAUGUUGUGGGAUUCAUGAUAGAAAUUGGGUAAUAAUUCAUAGAUUACCCGUGCAUAAUUUGGUUGAAUGAUGUUUGGAAUCUAUGUGUUGUUGAUUUAUCUGAUACUUUGGAUCUUGGUCUACGCGUUUGUAUGGUUCUCUUUUAUUUGCCGAGGAACACAACCUUCAGGCUUCAGUUCGUUCCUUUUUGUGCCGAGGACCCAUGGACCUGGGGGUUAGGUCCGGUUCCAAAAUUUGAAAUCCCAUUACUCGUCUCGACCCAUCCCAUUGUUUUCAUACAGGUCCAGUCCUGUCCCUCCAAAUUUGGGCCUAACUCGUGCCCAGCCGUAGGGCAGACACUAGAGCCUCUAGUCAACUCCAGUACACCCAUGUCUGCAAUUUUCUUAUUAUUUUGGAGAUUGUUAAAUAUUUGCUUGAUUUCUAUUGGGCUUUCUAACUGAGUGUAUCCAAUAGGAAGUGGAGAUUGUUAAAUAUUAGCUUGUUAUAUAUCCUAUCUUUUGAA